rnacentral:rRNA from 1 species
UGGGGAAUUGUUCGCAAUGGGCGCAAGCCUGACGACGCAACGCCGCGUGGAGGAUGAAGGUCUUCGGAUUGUAAACUCCUGUUGCUCGGGACGAAAAGCUCCGACCUAACACGUCGGAGUCUGACGGUACCGAGUGAGGAAGCCCCGGCUAACUCUGUGCCAGCAGCCGCGGUAAUACAGAGGGGGCAAGCGUUGUUCGGAAUUACUGGGCGUAAAGGGCGCGUAGGCGGCCUGCUAAGUCGAACGUGAAAUCCCUGGGCUCAACCCAGGAACUGCGUCCGAUACUGGUUGGCUUGAAUCCGGGAGAGGGAUGUGGAAUUCCAGGUGUAGCGGUGAAAUGCGUAGAUAUCUGGAGGAACACCGGUGGCGAAGGCGACAUCCUGGACCGGUAUUGACGCUGAGGCGCGAAAGCCAGGGGAGCAAACGGG